CGGAAUGUCAGGCUCUUCUCUCCUGUGAGCGUGAACACAUGAGGCCUAAUGUGGGAGGUUCCUCUAACAGUCUGAUUGAAGACUUGGGGUGAUGAGAAGGAAUUAUUCUUCUCUGAUGAAAUCGAAGAGCUGCUGCUGCUGCUGGUGGAUGUGGAGUGGUGGCUCUUUCCCAUGGCCCGGAACCGACAGAACAAACUCUCGGGGAGAGCAAAGAAAACACGGCCACAAAAAAAAGUCAAUGAUCCGCAGCGGUGGAUCUAAAAAAUGACGAAAAAGAGA